AAACACAGUGUGAUUCAAUGUCCACCACUAAAAACUUUAUAGUGCCCACCUUAAUGCCCAUGAUAAUUUUUUUUUCCCAUCCAAUAUGUUGAUUAUGUCACAUAGACAUGGAUGAAGGCAAAGGACAAAUAUCGGCUUUAUCGAAAACUUUUAUACCCCACAAGAAGUGUUUCAUGGUAGGCCUACAUCGCCACUAUUUUGUGGUGUGGUACAUUUGAGAUUUUGGUCUACCUUGUUUUUGGGUUCUUGCCAUAAAAUGACGUGUAAAAAUGCAUAGAUGAUGUAGAGUCCACAGACCACCAAUACAGUUGAAGCUACAGCUUUGGUGUCUUUGCCCCAUGCGGGAAUGCCCUGAGAAGGUGUGUAGUGGGAAAUGAUGUGGGGCCGCAGAUAUUCUCGUCACAAAUCCACUCUGUUCAUCCAUUUUUCAAGAUCAAGAUAGUACAAGUAGAGGAGGAUUCUAAAGACAAGGCAGAUCGAAAAUUCAUGUAGCUAGGCUACAUCUCAUUGAACGAUGGGAAUGAGGAGUCUAAAGACAAGGCAGAUCGAAAAUUCAUGUAGCUAGGCUACAUCUCAUUGAAUGAUGGGAAUGUAAAUGUCUGCUGUCGAAACCUUCAGGGAGCGGAGCAUGAUUUUUAUUGGCUAUCCAAACGUUUUGUAGGGUUAUUACCGCUCAGAUAAAUAGUAGGCACAAAUAUCAUCCUCAUACCAUACUUUGUGACGGCCACAAAGUUUCAUUGCUGACCAAUAAUUUCUGCUUUUUUGUGUGGUGUGGUCCACAUAAAAUUUGGAUCUCACUGAUUUUUAGAUUCUUGAUCUUUUAUUGUCUUGAAAACUUGAUGGACGGAGUGGAUUUGUUAUGGAAAUUUUUAUGGACCCUACACAGCUUCAAACUA